rnacentral:tRNA from 1 species
UCCCUGCUGGCUCAGACAGUAAAGUGUCUGCCUGCAAUGCGGGAGACCCAGGUUCGAUCCCUGGGUUGGGAA